rnacentral:sRNA from 1 species
GUAUGUGAGAGUGAUCUAGGUAUUAUACCUGUCACUGAGUUAAUCACCAUGUUGAUUUCAUUGAUCCAGUUGGACAUGGAGGUGUCCUGUCGUCCUUAUUUGCUGAAUGUGAAUCCUCCUAGAGUGGCAGAACCUACUCAAAUCCAGGAGGAUUAGUCUUACAGGAUCACAAGUAGCUGUGUUUCCAUGCAAAUCUCUAAAUAUGCUCUCAGAAUACCAUAUGUGUUAUUGUAAUAAUAAAAUAUAGAUUCAUAUCACAGUUCACUGGGCAUCUAUUG